rnacentral:rRNA from 1 species
ACGCUGGCGGCAGGCCUAACACAUGCAAGUCGAGCGGUAGAGAGAAGCUUGCUUCUCUUGAGAGCGGCGGACGGGUGAGUAAUGCCUAGGAAUCUGCCUGGUAGUGGGGGAUAACGUUCGGAAACGGACGCUAAUACCGCAUACGUCCUACGGGAGAAAGCAGGGGACCUUCGGGCCUUGCGCUAUCAGAUGAGCCUAGGUCGGAUUAGCUAGUUGGUGGGGUAAUGGCUCACCAAGGCGACGAUCCGUAACUGGUCUGAGAGGAUGAUCAGUCACACUGGAACUGAGACACGGUCCAGACUCCUACGGGAGGCAGCAGUGGGGAAUAUUGGACAAUGGGCGAAAGCCUGAUCCAGCCAUGCCGCGUGUGUGAAGAAGGUCUUCGGAUUGUAAAGCACUUUAAGUUGGGAGGAAGGGUUGUAGAUUAAUACUCUGCAAUUUUGACGUUACCGACAGAAUAAGCACCGGCUAACUCUGUGCCAGCAGCCGCGGUAAUACAGAGGGUGCAAGCGUUAAUCGGAAUUACUGGGCGUAGAGCGCGCGUAGGUGGUUAGUUAAGUUGGAUGUGAAAUCCCCGGGCUCAACCUGGGAACUGCAUUCAAAACUGACUGACUAGAGUAUGGUAGAGGGUGGUGGAAUUUCCUGUGUAGCGGUGAAAUGCGUAGAUAUAGGAAGGAACACCAGUGGCGAAGGCGACCACCUGGACUGAUACUGACACUGAGGUGCGAAAGCGUGGGGAGCAAAC